ACCUGAGUGGUACAAGAGGUUAAUGCAUUCAACUGCUAAUCAAAAAGUUGGUGGUUUGAAUCCACCCACAUGCA
rnacentral:tRNA from 1 species